UACGUAGGUCCCGAGCGUUGUCCGGAUUUAUUAGGCGUAAAGCGAGCGCAGGUGGUUUAUUAAGUCUGGUGUAAAAGGCAGUGGCUCAACCAUUGUAUGCAUUGGAAACUGGUAGACUUGAGUGCAGGAGAGGAGAGUGGAAUUCCAUGUGUAGCGGUGAAAUGCGUAGAUAUAUGGAGGAACACCGGUGGCGAAAGCGGCUCUCUGGCCUGUAACUGACACUGAGGCUCAAAAGCGUGGGGAGCAAACAGG
rnacentral:rRNA from 1 species